rnacentral:rRNA from 1 species
AGUGAACGCUGGCGGUAGGCCUAACACAUGCAAGUCGAACGGCAGCACAGUAAGAGCUUGCUCUUACGGGUGGCGAGUGGCGGACGGGUGAGGAAUACAUCGGAAUCUACUUUUUCGUGGGGGAUAACGUAGGGAAACUUACGUUAAUACCGCAUACGACCUACGGGUGAAAGCAGGGGAUCUUCGGACCUUGCGCGAUUGAUUGAGCCGAUGUCGGAUUAGCUAGUUGGCGGGGUAAAGGCCCACCAAGGCGACGAUCCGUAGCUGGUCUGAGAGGAUGAUCAGCCACACUGGAACUGAGACACGGUCCAGACUCCUACGGGAGGCAGCAGUGGGGAAUAUUGGACAAUGGGCGCAAGCCUGAUCCAGCCAUACCGCGUGGGUGAAGAAGGCCUUCGGGUUGUAAAGCCCUUUUGUUGGGAAAGAAAAGCAGCAGGUUAAUACCCCGCUGUUCUGACGGUACCCAAAGAAUAAGCACCGGCUAACUUCGUG